UUGGUGAGUGCAAAAAUAUGAUGCAUUUUUCUACUCAACUCCAAUAUCAUAUCAAAACUAUAAAAUCCUAUGACCUUCAUCAACUCAUGCCUUCUCUUUUUCCAACGAGGUGGAGGCCUCACUGGCGUCGUUGUUGGAGAACAAAGAGAAGGAUGACUUGGAGUCAAGAAGGGAGAUGGGUUUGAUGUGGGUAGUGGGGCGA
rnacentral:lncRNA from 1 species